GACGAACGCUGGCGGCGUGCUUAACACAUGCAAGUCGAACGGAGACUCAGCAAUGGAUCUUAGUGGCGAACGGGUGAGUAACGCGUAGGCAAUCUGCCUUCUAGAUGGGGACAACAUCCCGAAAGGGGUGCUAAUACCGAAUGUUGUACCGUUUCCGCAUGGAGAUGAUACUAAAGGUGGCCUCUGAAUAUGCUACCGCUAGAAGAUGAGCCUGCGUCUGAUUAGCUAGUUGGAGGGGUAACGGCCCACCAAGGCUUCGAUCAGUAGCCGGUCUGAGAGGAUGAACGGCCACACUGGGACUGAGACACGGCCCAGACUCCUACGGGAGGCAGCAGUGGGGAAUCCUCCGCAAUGGACGAAAGUCUGACGGAGCAACGCCGCGUGAGUGAAGAAGGUUUUCGGAUCGUAAAGCUCUUUCGUUAGGGACGAACGUGCUCUUUGUGAAUAAUGAGGAGUAAUGACGGUACCUAAAUAAGAAGCCACGGCUAACUACGUGCCAGCCGCCGCAGUAAUAC
rnacentral:rRNA from 1 species